AUUGAACGCUGGCGGCAUGCUUUACACAUGCAAGUCGAACGCGGUUGAGGGGUAACUCUUGACUGAGUGGCGAACGGGUGAGUAAUACAUCGGAACGUACCUCGUUGUGGGGGAUAACCCACCGAAAGGUGGGCUAAUACCGCAUACGCCCCGACGGGGGAAAGGACGGGGGACCGUGAGAGGGCCGUCGCGCGAUGGGAGCGGCCGAUGUCGGAUUAGCUAGUUGGUGGGGUAAAGGGCCUACCAAGGCGACGAUCCGUAGCUGGUCUGAGAGGAUGAUCAGCCACACUGGGACUGAGACACGGCCCAGACUCCUACGGGAGGCAGCAGUGAGGAAUAUUGCGCAAUGGGCGAAAGCCUGACGCAGCGACGCCGCGUGGGGGAGUGAAGGUUUUCGGAUUGUAAACCCCUUUCAUGAGGAAAGAUAAAGUGGGUAACCACUUAGACGGUACCUCAAGAAGAAGCCACGGCUAACUUCGUG
rnacentral:rRNA from 1 species